UACGUAGGGGGCGAGCGUUGUCCGGAGUUACUGGGCGUAAAGGGCAUGCAGGCGGUCGGACGCGUUUCGGGUGACAGCGGGUGGCUUAACUACCCGAGUGGUCGAAAGACGGUUUGACUUGAGGACGCGAGAGGGACACGGAAUUCCGGGUGGAGUGGUGAAAUGCGUAGAGAUCCGGAGGAACACCAGAGGCGAAGGCGGCGCGCUGGGGCUGCACCUGACGCUGAACCACGAAAAGCCAGGGUAGCGAACGGGG
rnacentral:rRNA from 1 species